ensembl:lncRNA
CUCCCGUCCUCCGUCAUUCAGAUAACCCGGACGUGAAGCCGCUCCAUAGAAAAAUAUCCGAUACGGUAAAACAACUUACCUUCAAAAAAAGAUCUCUUUUUUGUAUCAUUGAAAAUCAAAACUCAUAGACGCACUCCACACAAUCUGUGAAGCUGAGAACUUCUGUUGGAGGGAGAGAAAGACUGCCACGUGAUGCCACAUCUCUGCCUCAUCACCAGUAGACCACGUGCCAGCAUCCAAGAGGUGAAGGACUCACACCGAGAGCACAAACAGACUUGUCUGCCAAGUUAAAACGCACCGCCACACACCUCUCUCUCAGGUGCGUGUAGUACGGAUGACCCUGUGGUGAUCACAGGCUUGAGUGCAUUACUACC